rnacentral:miRNA from 8 species
GUUGGCGUCCUCGUUGACUUUAG